AGCGAACGCUGGCGGCAUGCCUAACACAUGCAAGUCGAACGAGACCUUCGGGUCUAGUGGCGCACGGGUGCGUAACGCGUGGGAACCUGCCCUUAGGUUCGGAAUAACUCCCCGAAAGGGGUGCUGAUACCGGAUAAUGUCUUCGGACCAAAGAUUUAUCGCCUUUGGAUGGGCCCGCGUUGGAUUAGCUAGUUGUUAGGGUAAAAGCCUACCAAGGCGACGAUCCAUAGCUGGUCUGAGAGGAUGAUCAGCCACACUGGGACUGAGACACGGCCCAGACUCCUACGGGAGGCAGCAGUGGGGAAUAUUGGACAAUGGGCGAAAGCCUGAUCCAGCAAUGCCGCGUGAGUGAUGAAGGCCUUAGGGUUGUAAAGCUCGUUUACCCGGGAUGAUAAUGACAGUACCGGGAGAAUAAGCUCCGGCUAACUCCGUG
rnacentral:rRNA from 1 species